GACGAACGCUGGCGGCGUGCUUAACACAUGCAAGUCGAACGGAAAGGCCUGCUUUCCCUUGUGGAUUGCGGGUACUCGAGUGGCGAACGGGUGAGUAACACGUGAGUGAUCUGCCCCCAACUUGGGUAUAAGCCUGGGAAACUGGGUCUAAUUCCCGAUAGGACUGCAGGGUGGUGCCUGUGGUGGAAAACGAUUUUCUAGUGGUUGGGGAUGAGCUCGCGGCCUAUCAGCUUGUUGGUGGGGUAAUGGCCUACCAAGGCGGCGACGGGUAGCCGGCCUGAGAGGGUGGACGGCCACAUUGGGACUGAGGUACGGCCCAGACUCCUACGGGAGGCAGCAGUGGGGAAUAUUGCACAAUGGGCGGAAGCCUGAUGCAGCGACGCCGCGUGGGGGAUGACGGCCUUCGGGUUGUAAACUCCUUUCGACCGCGAGGAAGCCACCUGGUUGGAAGGGUGGUGACGGUAGUGGUAGAAGAAGCACCGGCUAACUACGU
rnacentral:rRNA from 1 species